rnacentral:tRNA from 1 species
GCGGGUAUAGCUCAGUGGCAGAGCACAUACUUAGCAAGUACAAGGUCCUGGGUUCAAUCCCCAGGACUUCCA